CUUUAUGGCGGGCGGUGCGUGGGGGCCUUUGGGUCCGCCGGUCCUAUGACGCUACAUCAUCCCCGGUUUGCAGCCACGCAUCGUCCGCCACCCCA
rnacentral:antisense_RNA from 1 species